CGGUCCCAAGGGUAUGGCUGUUCGCCAUUUAAAGUGGUACGCGAGCUGGGUUUAGAACGUCGUGAGACAGUUCGGUCCCUAUCUGCCGUGGGCGUUGGAAGAUUGAAGGGGGCUGCUCCUAGUACGAGAGGACCGGAGUGGACGAACCUCUGGUGUUCGGGUUGUGUCGCCAGACGCAUUGCCCGGUAGCUAAGUUCGGAAUCGAUAACCGCUGAAAGCAUCUAAGCGGGAAGCGAGCCCUGAGAUGAGUCUUCCCUGAUACUUUAAGUAUCCUAAAGGGUUGUCGGAGACUACGACGUUGAUAGGUCAGGUGUGUAAGUGCUGUGAGGCAUUGAGCUAACUGAUACUAAUUGCCCGUGAGGCUUAACCAUACAACACCCAAGGGGUUU
rnacentral:rRNA from 1 species